rnacentral:lncRNA from 1 species
CAUGAGUGGCCGAGUAGUAACAAUUAAUUAAAUUCGGGUAAAUCUCCAGAACAUUUCUUGAUUUGAUCAGUAUUUUCAUAUUUUUUUAAUAGGUUUUGGGGUAGGUCACGUUAUAUAUGAGACUCGGAACCGUGAUAGUACCGUAUAAGGGGUUGUUUUCACGGGGUAUACAUUAUCGUGAAUGGAACAAAAUCGCCAAAAUAAAUGCCGCCCAUUUGAAAGUGUACAAGCAAAGGAAUUGAUAAAUAUUUU